rnacentral:rRNA from 1 species
UACCUGGUUGAUUCUGCCAGUAGUCAUAUGCUUGUCACAAAGAUUAAGCCGUGGAUGUCUAAGUAUAAGCAACUUUGGACUGGGAAACUGCGAAGGGCUCAAUAAAACAGUUAUAAUUUAUUUGAUGGUUUUUGCUACAUGGAUAACUGGGGUAAUUCUAAAACUAAUACAUGCAUUCAAGCCCCGACUUCGGGAAGGGGUGUAUUUAAUAAAUAAAAAUCCACUUGUGGUGGAAAACAUAAUAACUUCUCGAACCGCAUGGCCUUGGGGUGGCGGUGCUUCUUUCAAAUAUCUGCCCUAUCAACUGUCGAUGGGGAAAUAGAGGCCUACCGUGUUUGCGACGGGUAACGGGGAAUAAGGUCUCUAUUCCGGAGAGAGAGCCUGAGAGACUUCUACCACAUCCGAAGAAGGCAGCGNGCGCGCAAAUUACCCUCUCCCCACGGGGGGAGGUAGUGACAAUAUGUAACUAUAUACGGCCUUAUACGUCGUAUGAUUGGAAUGAAUACAUUUUAACUCCCUUCACUAAGAACUAUUGGAGGGCAAGUCUGGUUCCAGCACCCGCGGUAAUUCCAGCUCACAUAGCAUAUAUUAUAGUUGUUGCAAUUAAAAUACUCGUAGUUGGACCUUGGACCUGGACAUGCAGUCCGCCUCACGAGGAGUACUGUGAUGGUGGGUCUUUCCUCUUGAGGAUCUGUGAGUUCGGCAGCCAGCAACCAGGACCUUUUCUUUUAAAAAAUUAGAAUGUUCGAGGGCUGCUCGACGGCUGUAAUUCUUAGCAUGAAAUAAUUAAAAUGGACGGGGCGUUCUAGUUUGUUGAGUUUGGAAACGCCCGAAAGAAUGAAAGGACAGUCCGGGACAUUACGCCUGCCAUGCUAAAAGUGAAUUCCUGGGAAUAUUCUAAAACUACGUCAGCAAAAACAUUGGCAAAGAAUUUUUCUUUAACCAGGACCAAGGUUCAGGAGUACAAAACGGGUUUGUUCCCUUUGUAACCUAACGGUAAACUUUGCCCACCAGAGAUCGGUCAAUGUGAACUUUUUGAAUCCUUCGGGACCUUAACAAAAUUCAAAUUUUUUGGAUCCUGGGGGGAAUUGUGGUCCCAAGGAA